GACGAACGCUGGCGGCGUGCCUAACACAUGCAAGUCGAACGGAAAGGCCCUGCUUUUGUGGGGUGCUCGAGUGGCGAACGGGUGAGUAACACGUGAGUAACCUGCCCUUGACUUUGGGAUAACUUCAGGAAACUGGGGCUAAUACCGGAUAGGAGCUCCUGCUGCAUGGUGGGGGUUGGAAAGUUUCGGCGGUUGGGGCUGGACUCGCGGCUUAUCAGCUUGUUGGUGGGGUAGUGGCUUACCAAGGCUUUGACGGGUAGCCGGCCUGAGAGGGUGACCGGCCACAUUGGGACUGAGAGACGGACCAGACUCCUACGGUAGGCAGCAGUGGGGAAUAUUGCACAAUGGGCGGAAGCCUGAGGCAGCAACGCCGCGUGCGGGAUGACGGCCUGCGGGUUGUAAACCGCUGUCGCCUGUGACGAAGCGGGAGUGACGGUAAUGGGUAAAGAAGCACCGGCUAACUACGUG
rnacentral:rRNA from 1 species